rnacentral:tRNA from 8 species
GGCGCGGUCGCCAAGUGGUAAGGCCGAGGACUGCAAAUCCUCUAUCGUCGGUUCGAUUCCGACCCGCGCCUCCA